rnacentral:lncRNA from 1 species
GAUCUCCAGUGAGCUCAAUCACCCGAAAAAUAGUGUCAUGUAUGGCGAUAUCCCAACCAAAAGGUUGAAAUGAGAGUAACCUAUUCCUACCCCCAUUUUAGGCUUCAAUUCUUCUCAACCAAACUGCCCCUUAAGUUUGAUCAUAAUUCCUCACUCCAGUAUUGACAGAGGCUUCUAUCCAUCCUGAAAAAGAAAGGUGA